rnacentral:rRNA from 1 species
UGGGGAAUAUUGCACAAUGGAGGGAACUCUGAUGCAGCGACGCCGCGUGAGUGAUGAAGGAAUUCGUUUCGUAAAACUCUGUUCUAUGGGAAGAAAAGGACUGUACCAUAGGAGAAAGCUCCGGCUAAAUACGUGCCAGCAGCCGCGGUAAUACGUAUGGAGCGAGCGUUGUCCGGAAUUAUUGGGCGUAAAGGGUGCGCAGGCGGCUUUACAAGUUGGAUGUGAAAUAUUGUGGCUCAACCACAAACGUGCAUCCAAAACUGCAAAGCUUGAGUUAAGGAGACGUAAGUGGAAUUCCUGGUGUAGCGGUGGAAUGCGUAGAUAUCAGGAGGAAUACCGGUGGCGAAGGCGACUUACUGGACUUAAACUGACGCUCAGGCACGAAAGCGUGGGGAGCAAACAGG